GCCUGAGACCUCACAGGUGGUCCCAUCUGGGUGAUGCUUCAUGCAGCCCAGAAAGGACCCACCACCCCAGCUCUCACUGUUCAACCUCCUGCCCCUACCCAUUGUGGGCAGUGAUCCUGUGCUCACCAUGUCUAAAUCUCAGAGCUUCCUGAGGUCCCCUCAAUGCACCUGACAGCAGAUCUCAGAGCAGGACACAGAGAACCAUUCAAGCCUGCAACAGCAACAGCGAACUCCUAGAAAGGCACCCGGAAGAUCCCGCCUCUUUGUCUGACUGGCAUGUCUGCCUGGAGACCUUGAUUGGCCAGUGAGUCUUACCCCUCCUCAAUGUUAAUGUGUGCUUCCUGUCGAAGGCUGGAGCUUUUCCAGAUCUCCAGAGCCCUUUUCAGCUCAUUAGCAUUUGUGCUUGCCCGGGGGGAAGAAUCCACCAUUCCAGCUCAGGCUAUUCUGCUGCCAGCUCCUCCCCUCUGUGAGCCAUGAUCCUGACUUCAGACCUUGCCUGAACAUUCUUCAUACCACUUGCCUUCUUUUUCCUGAAAUCAAGGCAAUAUGUCAGUAUUGAGUGAAUCCAGACAUCAUAGCUCUGUAAGGCAUGUUGAUAUUGAUUGCUUCUUUGUCUCAGGAGGUAUAAGAACUGGCAGAUCUCAAAGGGGAAAUUUCUGGUAUCCUGUGUCUUCAGACUUUGUUCUUCUGUUCAAGUAACUCUCCUCCCUUCAUGUAACCUAGCAACGAUUUACAUGACAAAGCCUUGCCUGCCUACCUGCCCUCAGAUCAGCCUGGAAAUCAACCCCUGAGGAGCCUUUGUCAGAUUUAAACACACAAAUACCACUCCUGGUGUCCUCUCUUUUGGAAUGUCAGCCUUGAUUCCCGUGGGCAGGCUUCAUGCUCACUGUGAUUUAUGCCUAGCCCUGACCUGGGAGAACUUUCACAGAUGGGAUGCUGUGUUUCUCUCAUGAGUUUAGAACACCCAGGGCUUGAAAUCAGACAAUGCCCUGGCUUAGAUUUAAAAGCCUUUUAAAAAAUGGAGUCUGACUCUCAGUUCCUCCUGUUCCACUGAAAUGCCCUGUCAUUCACACAGACAGCUGUGGUGGACUGUGCUUCUCAGACCCUUGGUGGGUGAAAAACAGUCGAUGUUGCCUGCUGCUGUAAGACCCCAAUGCAAUGUGUUUCUUAGGCCCCUAGAAACAAAGCCCAGGAUGGAGUUCUUUGUUCUUUUGCCAUCAGCCCUAAAGAAAGGUGAGAUGGGUGACCCACCUAGGCAUCUGACCCAUUGUGUAAGGGACCAAGAACAUUUACACAACUCCCCCAGUCUUUGUGAUCUAUCCUUCCCCUCACUUUCGGGGAGAGAUGAGCUGUAAUUCACCAUCCCCAUAUUUAUGAUGCUUAUCCUAUCCUUCCCUCACUUUAUGGUUCAUUCUUUAAAAACCUCCACUGCAACUGCUGGAGGUCUAUCUCCUCUGCCCCUUGUGGGUUACGAGCUCAGUCUCAGCAUGCUGAUACUAUUUGAAUAAACGUCAUGCAA
rnacentral:lncRNA from 1 species